rnacentral:rRNA from 1 species
CCUACGGGGGGCAGCAGUGGGGAAUAUUGCACAAUGGGGGAAACCCUGAUGCAGCGACGCCGCGUGAGUGAAGAAGUAUCUCGGUACGUAAAGCUCUAUCAGCAGGGAAGAAAAUGACGGUACCUGACUAAGAAGCCCCGGCUAACUACGUGCCAGCAGCCGCGGUAAUACGUAGGGGGCAAGCGUUAUCCGGAUUUACUGGGUGUAUAGGGAGCGUAGACGGCAGCACAAGUCUGGAGUGAAAUCCCGGGGCUUAACCCCGGAACUGCGUUGGAAACUGUGCGGCUGGGGUGCAGGAGGGGUCAGCGGAAUUCCGAGUGUAGCGGUGAAAUGCGUAGAUAUUAGGAGGAACAUCAGGGGCGAAGGCGACUUACUGGACUGUAACUGACACUGAGGCACGAAAGCGUGGGGAGCAAACAGGAUUAGAUACCCUGGUAGUC